GAUCAUGGCUCAGGAUGAACGCUGGCGGCGUGCUUAACACAUGCAAGUCGAACGAAGCGCUUGAAUGGAAUUCUUCGGAAGGAAGCUCAAGCGACUGAGUGGCGGACGGGUGAGUAACGCGUGGGUAACCUGCCUCAUACAGGGGGAUAACAGUUAGAAAUGACUGCUAAUACCGCAUAAGCACACGUGAUCGCAUGAUCGAGUGUGAAAAACUCCGGUGGU
rnacentral:rRNA from 1 species